AGCACCAUGGACUGGAGGGAGGAGGACGGAGGAGGGAGAGUGAUGGGAGAAAAGGAAGGGAGAAGAAGAAAGUAGAAUGAGGGAUGGGAGAGGAAUGGGAGAAAUGAAGAGAGAAGAAGAAAGGAGAAUGAGGGAAGGGAGUGGAAUGGGAGAAAAGGAAGAGAGAAGAAGAAAGGAGAAUGAGGUAUGGGAGAGGAAUGGGAGAAAAGGAAGAGAGAAGAAGAAAGGAGAAUGAGGUAUGGGAGAGGAAUGGGAGAAAAGGAAGAGAGAAGAAGAAAGGAGAAUGAGGUAUGGGAGAGGAAUGGGAGAGAUGAAGAAAGGAGAAUGAGGUAUGGGAGAGGAAUAGGAGAAAAGGAUGAGAGAAAUAAAAAUUUACUAACUCUAAUGUACAUUACAAAUUCAAAUGGAGCGCUAAACCAGGAAUUAACAUUCCAUUUCCUGAAAGAUUUUCUUUAUUUUAAUUGAGUUACCCUUGACCUCCCUCCCUCUCUCCCAGUCUCUAAACGCAGAACUCUGUUAAAUGCACUUCACUGCAUUAAUUCUAAAGUGUUCCGUAAUUAUUGGCAUUUGCUAGCACUCCUCUCCUUUCUUCUCUGCCCAUGUGUGUGUGUGCGUGUGUGGAGUAGUGUAGGGUCUACCUACUAAUCUCAUAAAGGUAGGCACCAGUGGAAGUCACAAUCACUUAGCCAAACAGCAGGUAAUUAGCUACUUUGCAUAGCGGCGGGGGGGAGAGUGGAAGUGGAUGGUUACGUCUGAAAUGGCACCCUGUUCCCUAUGUAGUGCAGUAAUUUUGACCAGGGCCCAUGGGGCUGUGGCUAAAAGUACUGCAUUACAUAGGGAAUCAGCUGCCAUUUGGGACGCAGGCGCUAUGCUAGUUAGCGGAUGGUUGGUCGUAAUUUCAACAACAACAUUUUUUACCGAAGAAUGAGGCCCAUAAGUAGGAAGUAGGAAGGUAAGGCUCAGAAUAGACGAGCAGAGAGCAUCUUAGUGAGUCAAUAACAACAACUUCACUCCAGUCCCUCCAGGAUUCUGAUAUGCAUCUCUGGCUGUGUCGGUUUGUUUGUAUGUCUCUCUCUCUCUCUCUCUCUCUCUCUCUCUCUCUCUCUCUCUCUCUCUCUCUCUCUCUCUCUCUCUCUCUCUCUCUCUCUCUCUCUCUCUCUCUCUCUCUCUCUCUCUCUCUCUCUCUCUCUCUCUCUCUCUCUCUCUCUCUCCCUCUCUCUCUCUCUCUCUCUCUCUCUCUCUCUCUCUCUCUCUCUCUCUCUCUCUCUCUCUCUCUCUCUCUCUCUCUCUCUCUCUCCCUCUCUCUCUCUCUCUCUAAAGAGGGAGUCUGCCUGGAGGAUCCUUCACCUUGUCUGUCAUACAAGGACAGACAUUAACACAAGCUCCCCAG